rnacentral:rRNA from 1 species
CCUACGGGAGGCAGCAGUGGGGGAUAUUGCACAAUGGGGGAAACCCUGAUGCAGCGACGCCGCGUGUGGGAAGACGGUCUUCUGGAUUGUAAACCACUGUCCCCAGGGACGAAAAUGACGGUACCUGGGGAGGAAGCUCCGGCUAACUACGUGCCAGCAGCCGCGGUAAUACGUAGGGAGCAAGCGUUGUCCGGAAUUACUGGGUGUAAAGGGAGCGUAGGCGGGGAUGCAAGUUGGGGGUAAAAACUACCGGCUCAACCGAUAGUCGUACUCAAAACUGCAGCUCUUGAGUGAAGUAGAGGCAGGCGGAAGUCCUAGUGUAGCGGUGAAAUGCGUAGAUAUUAGGAGGAACACCAGUGGCGAAGGCGGCCUGCUGGGCUUUUACUGACGCUGAGGCUCGAAAGUGUGGGGAGCAAACAGGAUUAGAUACCCGAGUAGUC